CUCACGCUCCAGAUCCAGUGCCAGGCUCAGCCUCUCUGCGCACGGCCUGCUGCCGCCAUCUUGAAUCUUGAGUGUAGUCUUCCGGUAUAGCCCACAGGCUGAGGUGUCUGUGCGGCCAUUUUGCACCAGGAACUGUGGUCUGACCUGGUGAGUGGGGCUUCUGCCUACGACCCCCUGUGAACAAGUAACAGCAGACUGAGCACAAAGGAAAAAAACAAAGUACAUCUGGUUCACAAAUUGGGAGAGAAACAGAAAAAUGGACUCUCAGCCUCACAAAGAAUGCUUCAUUAUGCCAGAACCUCUUGUGUUUGUCCUGUCCAGGAGAAAGAAUUUGACAAGGUGCACAUUAGAUGCUCUUAUGUCAAUGACCCAAGAAAUGCUUGGUAUAACCAGCCCUCUAACUCUUCAGGACAGUGGCACAGAACAGCAUGACAUAGACCGGCAGCCACAGAGCCACAUAACAAGCGUCGCUUUGCGCAAACAGCUGCUGAGGUUCGGGAUGAAAGCGUUGUCUCCUGGAACAUCUAAACUCUAACAUCUGCUUGACAAUAAAUGUCUGAUUAGACGAUUCUUAUGGAACAAAGUCCAACAUAUCAAGCAUACCCUUUUCAAAAGAAAAUUUUUACUGCUCACCACUUAACAUUAGACUAAUAACAUUUAGCGUGGUUCAUCUGUGUUUUCAAAAUACAUAGAGAUGUUUAAUUAAGCAGUGAAUAUCUUUUUUUCUUUCAAAAACAGCUUAAAAUAAGGUUCAUCAAAACGUGAUUUUAAUUUGAUCACCUGCCUUUUGAAGUCAAGUCUCUCCAACUCCAGCAAAGUGUGGGGUUGAGGCAAUUAUCUGAAUUAUUCAGGAAGCAGAAUUUUAGCCUAAAUCAUCACAUUCCUAGAGAACAAAGAAUAUCUGUCAGUUCAGCCGAAAAGCAGAAAAAUUGAACACUUUGCUCUUUUUCUACAUGAAAUAGCAUAUACGCUGCCUUAUUUUCUCUGAGCUAAUUGGCUAAUGAAUUCUAUUUGACCCUGUACAGAGGAAGAAAAAUCUUAAGAAGAUGAAACCAAGAAGUUAAAGAUUCCUCCUCUUUGCAAAAGUCGGCAGAGAUCUAUAUUUACCAAACGUUGUUCUGCUUCAAGUUUCUGCUGCCAAAUUGGAACUUUCUGAAGAAUGGUGUUCAAGCCUUUUCUUAGUUCUCCAGCAAUGUUUCAGCUCAUCUGUGUUCUUCGUUCAUAACUUCUCACCUGAAAACUAUUCCAUAAAUAUAGAAUGAAUUGUA